UACGUAGGUGACUAGCGUUGUCCGGAUUUACUGGGCGUAAAGAGCGCGCAGGCGGUCGUUCAAGUCGAGUGUGAAAGCCCCCGGCUCAACUGGGGAGGGUCAUUCGAUACUGAUCGACUCGAAGGCAGGAGAGGGAAGCGGAAUUCCCGGUGUAGUGGUGAAAUGCGUAGAUAUCGGGAGGAACACCAGUGGCGAAGGCGGCUUCCUGGCCUGUUCUUGACGCUGAGGCGCGAAAGCCAGGGGAGCAAACGGGG
rnacentral:rRNA from 1 species